UCCGACUUAACGUCGGCAGUCCAUCUAGAGUGCCCAACUUAAUGCUGGCAACUAAAUGCAGGGGUUGCGCUCGUUACGGGACUUAACCCAACAUCUCACGACACGAGCUGACGACAGCCAUGCAGCACCUUGCAAUCUGUCCCGAAGGAAAGCCCUAUCUCUAGGGUUGUCAAAAAGCAUUCUAGCCCAGGUAAGGUUUUUCGCGUUGCAUCGAAUUAAACCACAUGCUCCACCGCUUGUGCGGGCCCCCGUCAAUUUCUUUGAGUUUUAAUCUUGCGACCGUACUCCCCAGGCGGGUCACUUAUCGCGUUAGCUUCGGCACUGAAGGGGUCAAUACCUCCAACACCAAGUGACCAUAGUUUACGGCGUGGACUAC
rnacentral:misc_RNA from 1 species